GAUGAACGCUGGCGGCGUGCCUAAUACAUGCAAGUCGAGCGAACGGACGAGAAGCUUGCUUUUCUGAUGUUAGCGGCGGACGGGUGAGUAACACGUGGAUAACCUACCUAUAAGACUGGGAUAACUUCGGGAAACCGGAGCUAAUACCGGAUAAUAUUUUGAACCGCAUGGUUCAAAAGUGAAAGACGGUCCUGCUGUCACUUAUAGAUGGAUCCGCGCUGCAUUAGCUAGUUGGUAAGGUAACGGCUUACCAAGGCAACGAUGCAUAGCCGUCCUGAGAGGGUGAUCGGCCACACUGGAACUGAGACACGGUCCAGACUCCUACGGGAGGCAGCAGUAGGGAAUCUUCCGCAAUGGGCGAAAGCCUGACGGAGCAACGCCGCGUGAGUGAUGAAGGUCUUCGGAUCGUAAAACUCUGUUAUUAGGGAAGAACAUAUGUGUAAGUAACUGUGCACAUCCUGACGGUACCUAAUCAGAAAGCCACGGCUAACUACGUG
rnacentral:rRNA from 1 species